rnacentral:lncRNA from 1 species
GGGCUGUAGCAGGAGGCCUGUGAAGACACUGCAAGGACUGAGCUACAAGACUGAUUUUGCAUCAGAUCCAAACCUCUGAGAAAGCCUAACAGAACAAAUUGGGACAAAAAUAGGAGAAAAAAUGUUUCCUGGAUUUAAGACAGUCAUAUUCAGAAAGGUCUACAUGUUUUGUUUUGACAUUUUUUGGAUCAAAAUGAAGCAUUUUGACAUUUCUGAGAUGUGCCUGCACAGACUGAAUCCUGGUGACAGAUGCAUCUCCAUUUAUUCCCUGCUUCUGCUCCAGAGCUGCACCUACACACCUAUUGUGUGACAUGAGACUUGCUUUCUACCCAAGCUUCCCAUCAUUAUGUUCCUGGUUACAUCUGGAUAUACUGGGACCUACACGCAUCCUAGAGGGGCUUGUUGUCUGAAGAGAUACUGAGUUUGAUCUUGGGAUGGUCCUCCACGUGCAAGGUAGAAAUUAUCAAAGGCACAAAACAAAACAAACAAAAAAGGCGCCCAGGCUUUCCUGGGCAGUGUAG